AUGCGCUUUUGUUCUUUCCUCACAAAGUUUCACUCGAAGAGCUCUUCGCAAAUAGGUGGUUUUAGGGAUUCAUGUGCUUUUUGUAAGUUGAACUGCUAGGGGCUAAGGAUUUGAUAAAGAAAGUAUGCACACCGAUAGCAAUUCCGGUGUCCCGGGAACACCUUCAGGACGGAUACGUCGUCGCAGAGGAUCAAAUGAGGUUCCUCCAGAAGUUGUCAAAGCAAAUGGAAACCAUUUGCUUGUUAAUGAUCGGUCGAAGUACAAAUCAAUGCUUAUCCGUGCAUAUUCAUCCGUGUGGAUGAUUGGAGGCUUUGCUUUCAUUAUUUACAUGGGUCAUCUUUAUAUUUGGGCCAUGGUUGUUGUCAUCCAAAUCUUUAUGGCAAAAGAGUUGUUCAAUCUACUUAGAAGAGCACAUGAAGACCGGCAUCUUCCUGGUUUCAGGCUAUUGAAUUGGCACUUUUUCUUCACAGCAAUGCUAUUCGUAUAUGGCCGCAUGCUAAGCCAAAGACUUGUCAACACGGUUACUUUAGACAAAUUCCUAUACAAGCUUGUCGGUAGAUUUGUUAAGUAUCACAUGGUCACGUGUUA
rnacentral:misc_RNA from 1 species